CCGACAUGGCGCCGGAGCUGACCCCGGAGCAGGUUCAGGCCACCAAGCAGUUUCUCGAAGAGAUUAACAAAUGGACAGUUCAGUACAACGUCUUCCCGCUCUCUUGGAAUGUGGCAGUCAAGUUUCUCAUGGCCAGGAAGUUUGAUGUGCUCCGUGCUAUUGAGCUCUUCCACUUCUACAGAGAAACUCGAAGGAAGGCAGGCAUUGUGAAGCUGAAGCCUCACGAGGAGCCGCUCCGUUCUGAGAUCCUCAGUGGAAUGUUCACCAUCUCGAAUGUUCGGGACCCCACAGGAGCCUCCAUUGCCCUCUUCACUGCCACGCUGCAUCAUCCCCACAAGUCAGUCCAGCACGUGGUCCUUCAGGCUCUGUUUUACUUGCUAGACAGAGCUGUGGACAGCUUUGAAACUCAAAGGAAUGGAUUGGUGUUUAUCUAUGACAUGUGUGGUUCUAAUUAUACCAAUUUCGAACUGGAUCUUGGCAAGAAAGUCCUGAACCUGCUGAAGGAAACAUUUCCAGUUCGCUUGAAGAAGGUGCUGAUUGUGGGCGCUCCCAUCUGGUUCCGAGUGCCCUAUUCUAUCAGCCUCCUCCUGAAGGACAAAGUCUGCGAGAGGAUUCAGAUAUUAAAGACAUCCGAGGUCACCCAGCACCUACCCAGGGAGUGCCUUCCAGAAAACCUGGGUGGGUACGACAAAAUUGACCUCGCCACUUGGAAUUUCCAGUUCCUACCCCAGGUGAACUGCCACCCAGAUCCCUUCGAUGAGAUCAUCCUGUUCUCCCUCCCUCCUGCCUUAGACUGGGACUCAGUACAUGUUCCAGGUCCCCAUGCCAUGACCAUCCAAGAGCUGGUGGAUUAUGUGAACACCAGGCAGAAGCAGGGAAUAUAUGAGGAGUAUGAAGACAUCCGCCGUCAGAACCCCGUUGGCACUUUCCACUGUUCCAUGUCCCCAGGAAACCCGGAAAAGAACCGUUAUGGGGAUGUACCCUGCCUGGACCAAACCAGAGUGAAGCUGACGAAGCGAAGUGGCCCUACUCAGACAGAUUACAUCAAUGCCAGUUUCAUGGAUGGCUACAAGCAGAAGAAUGCUUACAUUGGUACACAAGGCCCUUUGGAGAACACUUACCAGGAUUUCUGGCUCAUGAUGUGGGAGCAAAAAGUCUUGGUGAUUGUCAUGACCACUCGCCUUGAGGAAGGUGGAAGGAGAAAGUGUGGCCAGUACUGGCCUUUAGAGAAAGACUCUCGGAUCCGAUUUGGCUUCCUCAUGGUGACCAAUCUUGGCGUGGAGAACAUGAACCAUUAUAAGAAAACCACGCUGGAGAUUCACAACACAGAGGAGCGGCAGAAAUGCCAGGUGACCCACUUCCAGUUCCUGAGCUGGCCAGAUUAUGGUGUGCCUUCCUCAGCCGCUUCUCUCAUUGACUUCCUGAGGGUGGUCAGACACCAGCAGAGUCUGGCCGUGAGCAACCUGGGUACACGUGCCAAAGGGCAGUGCCCUGAGCCCCCCAUCGUGGUCCACUGCAGUGCAGGCAUUGGCAGGACAGGUACCUUCUGCUCACUGGACAUCUGCCUGGCACAGCUGGAGGAGCUUGGCACCCUUAAUGUGUUCCAGAUGGUGUCACGCAUGAGGACCCAGAGGGCCUUCAGCGCCCAGACCCCUGAACAGUACUAUUUUUGCUACAAGGCCAUCCUGGAGUUUGCAGAGGAGGGCAUGGUAUCCUCUGGCCACAACCUGCUGGCCGUGGAGGGUCAGUAA